rnacentral:rRNA from 2 species
CAGCCGCCGCGGUAAAACCAGCACCUCAAGUGGUCAGGAUGAUUAUUGGGCCUAAAGCAUCCGUAGCCGGCUCUGUAAGUUUUCGGUUAAAUCUGUACGCUCAACGUACAGGCUGCCGGGAAUACUGCAGAGCUAGGGAGUGGGAGAGGUAGACGGUACUUGGUAGGAAGGGGUAAAAUCCUUUGAUCUAUUGAUGACCACCUGUGGCGAAGGCGGUCUACCAGAACACGUCCGACGGUGAGGGAUGAAAGCUGGGGGAGCAAACCGGAUUAGAUACCCGGGUAGUCCCAGCUGUAAACUAUGCAAACUCAGUGAUGCAUUGGCUUGUGGCCAAUGCAGUGCUGCAGGGAAGCCGUUAAGUUUGCCGCCUGGGAAGUACGUACGCAAGUAUGAAACUUAAAGGAAUUGGCGGGGGAGCAC